GAGACCGAGUCUCGCUCUGUUGCCCAGGCUGGAGUGCAGUGGCGCUAUCUCGGCUCACUGCAAGCUCCGCCUCCUGGGUUCACGCCAUUCUCCUGCCUCAGCCUCCCGAGUAGCUGGGACUAUAGGCGCCCGGCUAAUUUUUUGUAUUUUUAGUAGAGACGGGGUUUCACCGUGUUAGCCAGGAUGGUCUCGAUCUCCUGACCUCGAGAUCCGCCCGCCUCGGCCUCCCAAAGUACUGGGAUUGCAGGCUUGAGCCACCGCGCCCAGCCCAGCUCAUCUUUUAGGAGGGGAAAGAUAGAGAGGAGGGGAGGGUUUUACAUAUGAUGGGAAAAGACAAGGAUUAUCAUUCAUUUCCACAUUUCCCAAGAGAAUAUCAUAAGCCAAAUAUUUGGAGUCAACACUUUUAAUUGUUCAAUAUUUUACUACAAAUAUAAGAAACAAUACAGAAUUAAAUAACACAUGAAAAUCUUGCUAUAUAUAUAUAUAAAUAUCCAAUUUAACAGCGAAAACAACUUACACUUUAAUUCCUAGGCCACUGGAUAGACACAGACAAAGCAGAAGAUACUGAAAAAGCAACUAAUUAUGGUUAUUAAAGAUUCAACAUCAUUCCACUAGCUGGAACAAUAUCUUUAGAACAAAGGGAUUGUAUGCUCAUAUUUGCCUCCUCUGCUAUUGGGAAAAGUUAACGCAUGGAAAAAGAAGCCAGCAGAGACAAAGCAUAUGAAUUGGCUGACUGCUAUACAGGAAAUCUCCUAAACAUCUGUUUUCAUAAUGUAUUUUCAUUAUAUGAGGCUGAAUUUAGAAUGACGUAAAAUAGGGCUGGGUCAUGUUAUAAGACAAAUGGACAGGGAGGGCAUGCUUCUCAAAAAAUGUGAGCUAUUGUCUAAGACUAACAAUAUUUAUCUAGCUAUAAAAAUAAGUUAAAUGAAUAAGUUAAGAUUGCCAAUGUUACUUCACAAUAAAUUCAGUCCUAUUUGUGUUGGAGUAAAUCUCAUAGAAGCACAUGAAGAACAGCAGUGAAACCAAGGAUUCUAGCAAGGCCAGCUAUUAGCAAAGCAGUAAGCAGGAACUGGACUAGAUACCAAAUGAUGGGGAAACAGACUCAUAGACCUAAGAACAUAGGAAGAAGAGAUGUAACAUCAACAGAAAGGCAAAAGCCUCAGGUAACUUUUGUAAGCAACACAAAUGGAAAAGAAA
rnacentral:lncRNA from 10 species